CUGACAGCCCUGGAGACUGAAGUCCUCUGCUUAUGUAUGGUUUCCAGCAGAAACAGCAGCAGUGCAAGCAAGCCCUUCCACUGUGCCUCAGCCUUGACCUCCCACUUCCUUGUAGAAGAGGACACUUCAGUUUCCAAUGCCGAUUCAGUCUUUAGUUUCA
rnacentral:sRNA from 1 species